UUUUUUUUUUUUUUUUUUUUUUUUUGGUUUUUUGAGACAGGGUUACUCUGUGUAGCCCUGGCUGUCCUGGAACUCACUCUGUAGACCAGGCUGGCCUCUGCCUACCGAGUGCUGGGAUUAAAGGCAUGCGCCACCACGCCCGGCCAGCUAACACUUCUUAAUGGAAGUGGGUGCACUCUGGAGCCAGGCGGAUCUCUAUGAGUUCAAGGCCAGCCUGGUCUAUUUAGUGACUUCUAAGACAGCCAGACCUACAUAGUGAGACCCUGUCUGGAAAAAAAAAAAAAAAAAAAACUGGCAGCAGCAACAAGAAAAAAAAAAGAGGAAGAUGAUGAAUUUCUUCCUUACAAUGCUGCAAUAUUUUCUUGACACUAUAUUUUACCUCCAACAUUCCUUCCACUGCUCCUGGUUCUGUUUGGGUCUCCUAUUUUUGGAUUGAAGUGACCUUUCUGCCCACAGACUCUGUUUCUGCCAUCUUAAAAUGGGCAAUUAAAGUUUUUGGAACACUUUCUUUUUUUCUUUUUUUUUUUUUUCUUUAGUUUUUCGAGACAGGGUUUUUCUAUAUAGCCCUGGCUGUCCUGGAACUCACUUUGUAGAAAUCUGCCUGCCUCUGCCUCCCGAGUGCUGGGAUUAAAGGCAUGCGCCACCAUGCCCGGCUUCUGGAACACUUUCUGAUGUAUCUCUAUCCCAUCUCCAAUUGACUGAGGGCUAUACCUGUGUUCAGUUUCUGCCAUUUAUCCCAGAAAUUGCAGUCAGUCUGUCCUUGAGUCAAGCUCUUCUGUAGGUAACCUCUCAUACAAUUAUCUAAUUCUGGGUGCCUUGAAAAUACUUUGAACAUCAAUCCACAGAGAGAAGUAGGUUCUAACCGUGGUGUAAGCUACUCAAAUAAGCACCUAAGAGGCAGAGGCAGGUGGAUCUCUGAAAUCGAGUCCACCCUGGUCUACAGGGUGAGUUCCAGGACAGCCAGAGCAAUGUAGUGAGACACUGUCUAGAACAAACCAAGAAAAAAGUAGUUUCUUUCCUGUAAUCCAGUGUAUACACACACACACCCAUGAAAUUUAAUCUACCAUACUAAUACAAUGUAGCAUAGAGUGAAAAUGAUGGCAGUCAAAGGACAGCCUUGUGGAGUCUGUUCUCUCCUUCCAAGUGGCCAACCUUACAUAGCAAGUACCUUUACCUAAUGAAUGAUCUGGUUGGCCUAGAAUUUUUUAAAUGCUAAUUUCUAGUUUUUAACAUAUUUUCCUACACAGUAAUAAUUAUAUAAGACUGGUUUGCUACACAUAUCUAGCAUAAAAGUGUUCUAUACUUUUUCAUUAUAAAUGCUCUGUAGCAACAGUUCAGAUUGUGACAUUACCAAAGUUUUUGUUUAGCUUGUCUAAAAGCAUAUUACCAUAUUUAUUGUAUCAGUGCUGAAUAAAGUUUUUAUUUUAUUUGGCUCUUACUAUGUACCCUUGGAUGACCUGGAACUAGCUCUGUAGACCAGGCUGGCUUUGAAAGCACAGAGAUCUGCUUGCCUAUGCCUCCCCAGUGCUGGGAUUAAAGGCGAAUACCACUGGGUAUAACUGCACACAUCUUUGAUCCCGGUGCUCAAGAGGCAGAGGGGCAGAUCUCUUGUGAGUUUAAUGCCAGCUUGGUCUACAAAGUGAGUUCCAGAACGGGUACACAGAAAAACCCUGUAUCUAGGCAUGUGUCACUACACCUGGCUUCUAUUCCUUUUUCUUUUCUUUUUUUUUUUUAGAUUUAUUUGUUUGUUUGUAUGUUUAUUAUAUGUAAAUACACUGUAGCUGUCUUCAGACACUCCCAGAAGAGGGCAUCAGAUUUCGUUAUGGAUGGUUGUGAGCCACCAUGUGGUUGCUGGGAGUUGAACUCAGGACCUUCGGAAGAGCAGUCGGUGUUCUUAACCACUGAGCCAUCUCACCAGCUCCCUAUUCCUUUUUCUAAUAAGUCCUCUUUGAGUGCAAUUUAUAGUAUCUUGAAUAAUAUCGCUAACAUACACAUAUGAUUUUGUCAAAAGAACAUAUGCUUUAACCAGUGCUCCCAGUUCUUUGAGUUUACCAAAGCUGUAUUUUAUUACAUUUUAUUUAGGUGUGGGGACAGGGUAAUAGAAAUCAGAGUACGAUUGGCAGGAAUGGGUUCUUACAGUGUGGUCCUGGGGAUGGAAUUCAACCUCAGUCUUGAUGGCAAGUACUUUUACCCACAGAGCCAUCUAAAACAGCCCAAAGAGCUAUAAAAGUCUGUACAUUUUUGCCUUUAUCCAACUUGAUUGGUGAGAUAUACAGGAUUUUUUUUCUUUUACUGGCUUAACUUCUAUUUAUUUAUUUUGAAAUUCAUUUUCAAAACCAGCUCCUUCAUAUAUUUGUAAGUAUCAUUUUUCUGUUUUUGUUUUUUUGUUUUUUGUUUUUUUGUUUUUUAUAAGACAUCUGUAUAGUCCAUACUGGUUUCAAACCUCCAACUUCUGCCAGGAUUCUAGACAGGCACCACCAUAUAGCUUCUAUUUUAUACAUUAGUUAAUUUCCGAGUUGAUUAGUAUUUCUUGUGGCAGCCUUAUGCUUAUUUCAAUAAUCUUUUUACAAUUUCUCAAGAACCCAAUGUCACUCAUUUUCAUUGUUUUUUUUUUUCUGUGUGUGUGUGUGUGUGUGUGUGUGUGUGUGUGUGUAAGGAUUCAAGACCUCGUCCUGAGCUUUAAUACAAAUCUAGAUAUAGACUCUUUUACUUAAAAGUUAAAGGAAAGUUUUAAUCUUGGUAUUUGUUAUUUUUUUCUGUCUCUGAUUUUAUUUAUUUAUGUAUAUAUUUCUUUAAAACAUUUUAGAGCUAUCUGGGUUGGCUGUUUUGUGGCAGGAUGUUUCUAAGCUUGCCAGAACUCCAGGGUUAGAUUCCUGGCAUAACACAGAAGAAACUGUGUCGAAGGCACAGUAAGUACCUAGUUUAGUUUGGGUAUUAACUUCUGCUUUAUAUCAUCGAGAUUAAAAAUACACUGAGCUGGGUAGUGGCACAUGCCUUUAAUUCCAGCACUUGGGAGGCAGAAGCAGGUGGAUUUCUGAGUUGGAGCCAGCCUGGUCUACAGAGUGAGUUCCAGGCAGCCACGGGUACACAGAGAAACUGUCUUAAAAACCCAGAAACAAGCAAACCGCCCCCUCCCCCGCCCACACACACAUGCACACACAUUCUUUUGAGUUUACUGCAGGAGGUCUUGGGCCUUGAGGUUGAAACUACAGAGUGAGAAUAGGCUGCUUGAGUCUAACUCUUCCUCUGUUGCUUACUAUCAUGCACUCCAUGACCUUUACACAACGUACUUAAGCACUUGUUUUGUGUCUCAGUUUCUCUCAGGUUGUAAAAUGGGGUAAUACAUCAUUUAAAGCACGGGUGUGGGGGCAGGUGAGUUGGCUUACCUGCUAAAAGUGAUUGCAGUCAAGCCUGAGGACUGACCGAGGUUUUAUCCCCGAGACCCACAUGGGAGAAGAACAAAACCAGCGCCCCUACUUGUUCUCCAAUCUUCACACACUUGCUAUGGAACACAUGUGCCCAUAUACACAUAAAUAUAUUAAUCAUUUUAAAAUAGUGUUUGAAUCAAUUGGGUUAAUCAAUUGUGAAAUGUUUGGGACGGGGAGCAAGCUGUCCAUGGGAAGUGAUGUUAUUUUCUUUGUAGAUUUUACUGAACAGCCUGCGGGUCCUUGAAGGGAGGUAUAUUCUUUGACAUAUGAAGAUUUUGCUUAUUGCCAAUAAUGUUUAGAUGACUGCAGCUUUACUUACAUUUCCAUUUCACCUUUCACGACCUGCCAUUAUCUCUCAUCAUUUUUGCUUUUUGAAUAUUGGUGCCUUUCCUUUGUUGCAUGUUCAUAACCAUUGUGUUCAUCAGGAAACAGAGCUUCUGUCAUUCCAAGUGUGUCUCUGUGGCCUGCUUAAUGACUUUGACCUGAAUCCAACCUUGUUUGAUUAUGGCACCUGCUCUCUCUCUAUUUGCAUUUUCCCAGUUGCACUGCCACUCGUCUUCUCACUUUAAUGAUCACGAAUUACUUUGUUCUCAGUAAGAGCAAGCAGCCCAGCCUUGGAUUUUACUUUGUGAUCCAAUCCAUCAGUCUCGUUGCUUUAAUGGAUGACAUAAGCCCAUAUACAGGUUUGGACAAGAGGCUGUCAUCUGUGAGAGAACACAGUACGAACUUGAUGCCCUGUCAAGACAAUCAGAAACAAUUAUCCCUCCUAACAGAAUUGAAUGUGCUUCUCUUUAACAAGCCUUCAUGUUUCUGUCUCAAUCCUGUAGAUUAAAAACUUUUAACAGUAAUCUAAAAUUCUGCUGUUGGGGACAGACCGUCUUCUCUCAAGGAAAAUGUCAGAGACUACUAAGUAGUAAACUCACAAUGUCUCACUGGGAAGUCCAUGACUGUGAAUGAGUGUCUUUCAGGAAGCUGGAACUGAACAGUGUGUCACUGAAGAUGUCAACAGCUCCCAGGAGUUGAUCUGCAUCCCACUCUUUUGCUUCCAAGUAUUUAAAGCAAAAUAAGUUUCAUAAGAAUGAUUCACAGAACUAUAGCAGGUUUAGUCAUAUCUGAUCCACCUAGUACCUUUGGCAAAGAGAACCAGGUGCUACUGAAAAAGAGGGAACACCAGAACAAGACAAGAAGCUCUGGCAUAAGGAAAUGGUGCAGUUUUGUUUCCUGCAGUUCUGUUAGACCAGUACUGUGUUUUGUGCUUUGGCCCAAUCAUAUCUGAUCCUAAUGUAAAAGAUGGCACACUGGCCAUCUUCUCGGGAAGACUUGUCCCAGGACUCAGAGAUACAGAGCUGAGGAACACCUUGGGACUGGCUAGAGAUGAAGGCUGUGUUCAGCCUCUGGUCCUGUUGCUUCAGCUGUUUUACUCUGUACAGGUUUCCCUCUCCUUUCUGUGCAGAACUCCCAUCUGCCAUCUGCAGCAGGAGGCUGGGAAGGAAGAAGAAUUAAUGGUGUUUCUAAAAAUUCCUCCACCUCCUCCUCUGUGCAGUCCCUGCUCUAUGAGGAUGGGUCUGUAUGUUCUAGCUUGUGUACCUCAGACCUACAGAAGAAAAUUACAGAGCAUACAAACAAGCAGGUAAUCUGAUACACAAAAAGAUGUAUGUCUGUUUUCUGAAAGUAGGAUGGAAGCCUGACAAUACUUUGUUGUAGAAAAAAGAAGUUUAUGUGAUGACAGCUCAGAGACACGAGGCUGAGAUAUGAUGGAGAGGCUAGCCAUUAGGAGGUCUCUUCAAAGGACCUGCUUUAUACUUGUAUCAAUAAAUCCCUACGAUGUGUUCAUGUGUGCGCAAUAUAAACAGGUACGUAUGCUGAGCAGUGGUGCACACAUCUUUGAUACGAGCACUCGGGAGGCAGAGGCAGGCGGAUCUCCGAGUUCAAGGCCAGCCUAGUCUACAGAGUGAGUUCCAUGACAGCCAAGGCUACACAGAGAAACCCUGUCUCAGAAAAAAUAUACAUAUAUAUAUAUUUCAUGAAAACUUUCCCAGUCCUAUGUUCAAAAUUGCUGUUCAUUCAGAAGAUAGUAAGAACCCUGCCCUGGCUUUGUUUCCUAAAAUACAAGGGAGACCUAACUCUGAGACUUACACACCUUCAGAGAUGCCAAGUUUUUCCUUUCACUCACCUUUUUAAAACCAUAUACUCAGCUUGUCUCAACGUAACAAGCUACUCACAGAGAGUGGUCUCAUAAGCUAACUAACUACUACUGACUGCUGUUUGGUAGAGGGCCUCAUGGCCAUCCUCAGAAUCACACAGCUCAGAAAGACGUCUCCCAGGAGUCAGAGAUGUAGUCAUGGAUGGGCUAAUGUACAAAAUGAUGGAAUAUGAUCAAAUGAUGGCAAUUCUCUAGUAUAAAGGUACUUGUUACUGCAGGUAGGAGAAAAUGUCCUGCCGGGCAUGGUGGCACACGCCUUUAAUCCCAGCACUCAGGAGGCAGAGGCAGGUGGAUUUCUGAGUUCGAGGCCAGCCUGGUCUACAAAGUGAGUUCCAGGACAGGCAGGGCUUAUACAGAGAAACCCUGUCUCAGAAAAAAAAAAAAAAGAAGAAGAAAAAAGAUAUGUCCUGAAAUGCUAACAGAGAAAGAAAAACAAAACUAGUAUCUAUUCCUAAAGCCAGUAAAUUACAGAAUAGUGUUCAGAAUGAUUAUGGAAGAAAGGCACCAGUAGAUUACAUUGGGUGUCAGCAGGCCAGGGAGAUUCCUGUUGCCUGAUGCCUAAGUCCACACAUACCACCCACUCAUCCUAAUGCUCUAAGAGCAAGGAAAGAAAUGUCAAUCAAGCAGGGUCCUGGAUUGCAUAUUCAAGUGCAAGAAAACAGUUCCAAUUUGACGUGAGAGGAAGCUGGUCCUGGCCUAGGGUUUGGCUGCUUAGAUGGGCACUCUAUUCUCCUUGGCCCACUUCUUCAUGAUCCUGAUGAUAUACUCCACUUGGGUGUUUCCUGUGCUUCUCAGUAAAUGCAGCACUUCUCGGAGGGUCUCUCUGAGGAAAGGUUUUAGAGAACACAUUUUUUUUAAUAAAGAAAAACUAGCGAUCUCACGACAUAGUACUAUAUUGCAAUGAGGUGUCUGUGCUCAUGGACCCUCCACUGGGCAUUUCAAAGCUGCUACUUUUCUAAGCCAUGACAAUGGGUUGCUUCUUCCACAUAUUUGCUCAAAAAGGGUUCAAAUAUAAUAUAAAUGAGAAUAGCAGUAAGGACCAGAAUUUGGUGAAUGCCCAGCAUUUGCACUUUAACUAAUACAUGUUUUAACUUAAAAACUCGUUUUAUGUAUGCAUGCAUGCAUCCUUAUGUAUGUGUGUAUCUAUGCAUAUAUAUAUAUAAUCUGUGUGUAUAUAUGUGCAUGUAUGUAUGAGUAUAUUUGCACUAUGCAAGUGCCCGAGAAGGACAGAAGAGGGUGUCAGAUGCCUUGGAGCUGAACUUACAGGUGUCUGUGAGCACCUGACAUAUGUGCUGGGAUUCACACUGUGAUCCUCAUGACUGAACAGCAAAUGCUCUUAACCACAAGCCUCCUCCAGCCCCAAGUUAAGAUUUAUUAUAAUUAAAGCUUGGAGUUUAGGUGAGGCAGGCUGAAGCUUCUCUGGUGUCUCAUCAGAGAUUUGGCAACUGUCUGUGGAUUUGCUCCCCAUGUGGUCUUGUCUUUUUUGUUUGUUUGUUCGUUUUUUCAUUUUUUAUUAGGUAUUUUCUUAUUUUACAUUUCAAAUGCUAUCCCAAAAGUCCCCCAAACCCUCCCCACCCCCUCCCACUUCUUGGCCCGAGGAACCUCCUGCAUCUGACUAAAUGCUUGUAUUCAGGAUUAUACAUAAACACAAGGCAGGAAGUAAAUUUUGAUAAUUUGCUUGCAAAAUUUUUACAGUUUUCUAUCCAUAUGCAUUAAGCAAUAAAUAUACUGCAUGGAACUUUUUUUAAAA